rnacentral:rRNA from 1 species
GCACUGGUCAAUCUAGUGGCGAACGGGUGAGUAACACGUGGGUAACCUGCCCAUCAGAGGGGGAUAACAUUCGGAAACGGAUGCUAAAACCGCAUAGGUCUUCGAACCGCAUGGUUUGAAGAGGAAAAGAGGCGCAAGCUUCUGCUGAUGGAUGGACCCGCGGUGCAUUAGCUAGUUGGUGAGGUAAUGGCUCACCAAGGCCGUGAUGCAUAGCCGACCUGAGAGGGUGAUCGGCCACAUUGGGACUGAGACACGGCCCAAACUCCUACGGGAGGCAGCAGUAGGGAAUCUUCCGCAAUGGACGCAAGUCUGACGGAGCAACGCCGCGUGAGUGAAGAAGGUUUUCGGAUCGUAAAACUCUGUUGUUAGAGAAGAACAAGUGCUAGAGUAACUGUUAGCGCCUUGACGGUAUCUAACCAGAAAGCCACGGCUAACUACGUGCCAGCAGCCGCGGUAAUACGUAGGUGGCAAGCGUUGUCCGGAUUUAUUGGGCGUAAAGCGAGCGCAGGCGGUUCCUUAAGUCUGAUGUGAAAGCCCCCGGCUCAACCGGGGAGGGUCAUUGGAAACUGGGGAACUUGAGUGCAGAAGAGGAGAGUGGAAUUCCAUGUGUAGCGGUGAAAUGCGUAGAUAUAUGGAGGAACACCAGUGGC